rnacentral:rRNA from 1 species
CUACGGGCCGCAGCAGUGAGGAAUAUUGCACAAUGGGGGAAACCCUGAUGCAGCAACGCCGCGUGGAGGAUGACGCAUUUCGGUGUGUAAACUCCUUUUAUCAGAGAAGAAAAUGACGGUAUCUGAUGAAUAAGCUCCGGCUAACUCCGUGCCAGCGGCCGCGGUAAUACGGAGGGAGCAAGCGUUGUUCGGAAUCACUGGGCGUAAAGGACGCGUAGGCGGGUUUUUAAGUCAGGUGUGAAAUCCUAUGGCUCAACCAUAGAACUGCACUUGAAACUGGGGACCUAGAGUAUGGAAGGGGCAUGUGGAAUUAGUGGUGUAGGGGUAAAAUCCGUAGAUAUCACUAGGAAUACCGAAAGCGAAGGCGACCUGCUGGGACAUUACUGACGCUGAGGCGUGAAAGCGUGGGGAGCAAACAGGAUUAGAUACCCUGGUAGUC